GAUGGUAAGGUAACGGCUUACCAUGGCUACGAUGUCUAGGGGUUCUGAGAGGAAGGUCCCCCACACUGGAACUGAGACACGGUCCAGACUCCUACGGGAGGCAGCAGUGAGGAAUAUUGGACAAUGGAUGGAAAUCUGAUCCAGCCAUGCCGCGUGCAGGAAGACGGCCCUAUGGGUUGUAAACUGCUUUUGUAUGGGAGCAAUAAGGGCUACGUGUAGUCCGAUGAGAGUACCAUACGAAUAAGCACCGGCUAACUCCGUGCCAGCAGCCGCGGUAAUACGGAGGGUGCAAGCGUUAUCCGGAUUUAUUGGGUUUAAAGGGUGCGUAGGCGGUUUGAUAAGUCAGCGGUGAAAUAUUUCAGCUUAACUGGAAGGGUGCCGUUGAUACUGUCGAGCUUGAAUUUAGUUGCUGUGAGUGGAAUGUGUGGUGUAGCGGUGAAAUGCAUAGAUAUCACACAGAAUAUCGAUUGCGAAGGCAACUCACAAAGCUAAUAUUGACGCUGAUGCACGAAAGUGUGGGGAUCAAACAGGAUUAGAUACCCUGGUAGUCCACACUGUAAACGAUGAUAACUCGCUGUCGGCGAUACACAGUCGGUGGCCAAGCGA
rnacentral:rRNA from 1 species